AUUGAACGCUGGCGGCGUGCUUAACACAUGCAAGUCGUGCGAGAAAGGGGACUUCGGUCCCUGAGUAGAGCGGCGCACGGGUGAGUAACGCGUGGGUGAUCUACCCGGAAGACUGGGAUAACGGUGGGAAACUGCCGCUAAUACCGGUUACGCUUCCAAUUCACAUUGGAGGGAAAGGCGGCCUCUGCUUGCAAGCUGCCGCUUCCGGAUGAGCCCGCGUCCCAUUAGCUUGUUGGCGGGGUAACGGCCCACCAAGGCAACGAUGGGUAGCUGGUCUGAGAGGAUGAUCAGCCACACUGGGACUGAAACACGGCCCAGACUCCUACGGGAGGCAGCAGUGGGGAAUAUUGCGCAAUGGGGGAAACCCUGACGCAGCGACGCCGUGUGAGGGAAGAAGGCCUUCGGGUCGUAAACCUCUGUCGGGAGGGAAGAACCGCCGGUUUCCGAACAGGGAGCCGGCCUGACGGUACCUCUAGAGGAAGCGCCGGCUAACUCCGUG
rnacentral:rRNA from 2 species